rnacentral:rRNA from 1 species
AGCCUGCGGUUUAAUCGGACUCAACGCCGGGAAACUCACCAGAUAAGACAGCUGAAUGAUAGUCGGGCUGAAGACUCUACUUGACUAGCUGAGAGGAGGUGCAUGGCCGUCGUCAGUUCGUACUGUGAAGCAUCCUGUUAAGUCAGGCAACGAGCGAGACCCACGCCAACAGUUGCCAGCUCGUCCUCCGGGAUGGUGGGGACACUGUUGGGACCGCCUCUGCUAAAGAGGAGGAAGGAAUGGGCAACGGUAGGUCAGCAUGCCCCGAAUUAUCUGGGCUACACGCGGGCUACAAUGGGUGGGACAAUGGGUAUCGACACCGAAAGGUGAAGGCAAUCUCCUAAACCCAUCCGUAGUUCGGAUUGUGGGCUGCAACUCGCCCACAUGAAGCUGGAAUCUGUAGUAAUCGUGUCUCAAAAUGGCACGGUGAAUAUGUCCCUGCUCCUU